CCCAGAUGCGCGGAGAAGCUCCGCGCCCCUCCGCGCUGCGUUGCGCGGGUGUCUGCUGCUGCUCCUGCCUGCCCGGGGCUGCGCUCGGGCAGCGCUCCGGUAGGGGCGUCCGCACGGUGAGCUCACAAACGGGACAAGAAAAAGCAGGAAAAUCCCUAGAAAUCCACCCCAAAUUAAGGGGAGAUUGAGGAAAUUAGCAUUUAAAAUAUAAAUUACAUAUGUAUAUAUUUACAUAUGUAAGAGGGGUCUUUUUAUUUUCGGGUUUGCUUCAUCAUUUUUGCCAGCGACAGAUUUGAAGCGAAGGCAAAAAGCAUCUUGCUUUAACCCGAUCUUUCGCCGUUCCCCUCGCACCCUCUGGAAAAGGUGAAGCUGGCGUCGGGUUUAAUGGCUUUUCUUAUAAAUUUUCCCAUUAUUUCCCCAAAAGCAGGAAUCACCCUGGGAUUUAGAGACAGCAGAAAACACGGAUCGCCGUGCGGUUGGUGUGAAAGGAGGCGGCUGAUUUACCACUCCCCACUUCCUUGGCCAGGAGCAGGGGCAUAUCUCAGCCUCCCGGGAUUAAAAACGGAGUCAUUUACUCCUGGAAGCGUUCGGCUCCAGCUACUUUAGAGCUGUCCCUGCACCCCCAAAUAAACUCCCCGUGUCCAUAGAACUAUCCCUCCGGGUGUAACCCGGCACGGCCGCCUCGCACACUGCUUCACAUUUACCAUCCCGUGCUCCCAAAUCCACCUUGUACGAGCAGUGGGGUGAAAUCUGCGGGAUUUCUCUCUGAGGAGGGGCAUAUUUCACCCUAAAUUCCCCUGAGGGGCCCAUAUAGGCAAUUACAGCCCUCUCCCAGUGCAGCGGAGGUGCUGCCCUCAUCCCGGGGGGGACCGGAGCCCCUAUUUUCCCUGCAUUACCCCGCUCCCUACCUGCCCCAGCAGGAAGCGCUUCCUCGUCUCUUUUUCACUCCUGAAAUUAAAAACUAAACCUCAAACCCUCGUGUCUGCAGUCAAAUUAAAGUAAAAUAAUAACAAUAAUAAUAAAAUCCCUGGGAUAAGGAAGCGUUUUGCCCCAGCCGGGAGCAAAGUGCCGGGAGGGAGGACGGACCUUCCUAAUGGAGUAAAACAAGCUGGGCCGGUGGUUGUUAAUUAUCCGGUUGCAUUCACAUCCGUCACUCGGAGCCCGCUGCUUGUGUACUGAGAAACGAAGCACAAAGAGAGCUAGCGUGAUCAAAUCAACACCGCUGAGUAUGAACUGCGGGGAGAGCGCAGAAGAACGGAGUCCGGCGCGCACUGACUUCACUCCGCUCAUAGGGGCCUCGGGUCUGUAUAUACGGAGGGAUCUGCACAUAGGCACAUAUCUGGAGGUCUUACAUUUCCAGCCACAUCAGGACAGAGAGCCCAUCCUGCUGCUAUGGGUCUUGUAGCUGACGGCAGCAGGGACGGGCUGGGCGGCUUGGACAGUGCUGCAGCAUCAGGUCUGCCACGGAUGUGAAAGAGGAGGAGAAGAUGGCCCACGGUGAUAAGGUCCCAGGCAAUUUCUAUGGUGCCUCCUACUCUUCUCUGUCCAGACAGCUCCAGCGCUCCUCCGGGAUCUUAUCUCUCCCUAUUGCUGCACCUCUUCGGCCUCCCUCCUACAGUGUCCUGCUCAGCUCGGUGCAAAACACACUCCUAAUUGCACUGGCCUGGCCCAAAGCUCUGAUCCCAUCUGCCCUCUCUGACUCCCGUCACUGGCUUCACUGGUUUUAUCACCUAUUUCACUUACAUGUUUGAUGCCGCCUCUUCAAAGCCAGGCAGAGGUCAGCCCAGCCCCAGAUCCACCACUGUUUUUCCCUUUAUUUUCAAUUUGGGAAUUAAAAGUAAUAGUAAUUGCCAACCUUUAAAGGUUUAGCUUGUUCUUUUGGAUAUGUGGAGCCACUGAAACAAUUGGGAAGUCCACGAGUCCAACCUCUGCAAGUGCAUCGAGUCCUGAGCUUGGAGAUCCACCGAGAGGAAAGCAUCUCCCGGGAGCAAACCAUUACUUGGAGACAGCCACAGCGAUUUCCACAACAGCCCAUGUGCUUGUUUGCAGAGUUUCUGUUUUGCAAGGUAUUCAGAUAGUCAGAGACAAACAGGAGUUGGGCUUAAUCUCCCCGAUCUGCCAUUUAUCUGAAGAAUCACUUUCCCACCACAAUGCAACCACCACCAUGGAGGGCGAAGCAACAUCGGUCCAGCUGACACAGGGGAGGGUGGUUUAUGAUAUAGGGUGAAGUGACUCCUCUGCUGAGCACUGAUUUAGCAGAGGUGUUUGAGAACAGCAGUGCCCUGGAUCCUCAG